GACGAACGCUGGCGGCGUGCCUAAUACAUGCAAGUUGAGCGAUGAAGAUUGGUGCUUGCACCAAUUUGAAGAGCAGCGAACGGGUGAGUAACGCGUGGGGAAUCUGCCUUUGAGCGGGGGACAACAUUUGGAAACGAAUGCUAAUACCGCAUAACAACUUUAAACAUAAGUUUUAAGUUUGAAAGAUGCAAUUGCAUCACUCAAAGAUGAUCCCGCGUUGUAUUAGCUAGUUGGUGAGGUAAAGGCUCACCAAGGCGAUGAUACAUAGCCGACCUGAGAGGGUGAUCGGCCACAUUGGGACUGAGACACGGCCCAAACUCCUACGGGAGGCAGCAGUAGGGAAUCUUCGGCAAUGGACGAAAGUCUGACCGAGCAACGCCGCGUGAGUGAAGAAGGUUUACGGAUCGUAAAACUCUGUUGGUAGAGAAGGACGUUGGUGAGAGUGGAAAGCUCAUCAAGUGACGGUAACUACCCAGAAAGGGACGGCUAACUACGUG
rnacentral:rRNA from 1 species